rnacentral:misc_RNA from 1 species
GAAAAAAGGCGAAGAGAACAGAGAACCCUACUCAGAAGGUAGAAAAGCCGUUGGCCAAUUUGCGCUAUCUAUUUUCUCCUCCUUUACCAACUUCUCAUUACCAAUUGCUUGUGAGUGUUUUUUUCUUUUUUUUAUGAAUAUUUUUCCUAGCUCUCUAAAUUCUAUGAUUUGCUCUUCGAUUACAUGCUGUACUUUGUAGUUUCUAUGUACUCCUUGGGUUGGUAUUAGUAUAAUCUUCAAUUUCUUGAACAACCACCAGUUUUCAUGAUGUUGUAAUUUUGAACUGGAUUAGUUUUGAUGGAUAUUGGGUGUGGUGUUUCGGGCUUCCAUUGAACUUUUUCUGCUUAUUGACUCUUUUCUUUGCCUUUGCUUUACCAGCUACAGCUUGGGUGGGUUUGUUUUCUUGUUUUGUUAGUAUUGAUGCUUGCUGAUGGAUAUAGGGUGUGGUGUUUUGCGCAUCCAUUGAGCCUUUUCUGCUUAUCGACUGUUUUCUUUGCCUAUGCUUUACCAGCUACAGGUUUGGUGGGUUUGUUUUCAUGUUUUGUUAGUAUUGGUGCUGCUUAUAAUCUUUGUUUGGGCUUUAGAAAAAUGCAUACUUGGGUUAUGUGAGUUUGUUCAUUGACAGUUGUACUACCACUAUAGCUCACAUAAUGCUUGGCCCUUAACAUAACAUAAUGGAGAAUGUGAAUUCGUAUAGAUUAUUUGCAUUGGAAUUCUGAUUGAUUUGAGCCAAGUUAUUCAUUGGUGAAUAAUGGAACCAUGAAUGUUACUUUUGAAUUUAACAUCAUGGAAUGUGUGUGAUGCAUUAGUGAUAACCCGAAACCCAAACCCAAAACGAAGGACCUAGAGAAUUCAAAUAAAAGGGUCAAUAGGGACAGCAAUGCAUUAACUUUAUUACACUGUAGUCUCUUAGAUGUUCGCUUUAUGUUGGAUUUUGCUUGUACCAUCCAUCUGUUUUAUGUGAUUGUUUUAUAUUGCUUCUUUCCUAGAGAAACUCUCUGACACUUAUAGGGGUGAAGUUUUAUUGUUUAUUUAUCAUGUUUUACUUUCACUAUCUUUAAUUAUAUCUACUUACAUUGAAUGCUAUACAAAUAUGGAUGUCAUGGGCUUGCUCAAAAGUCCUCUAAUAUCACAGUAAAGAGUAAACAGUACUUUAUAAAUAUCUUAUGUUGUUUAUUGGAUAAAAGCAUCAUAUGGUUGUGAUAGGGUUCACUAGUUACCAUGCUAAUCCUCAUAUACAUUCUAUUCAUGACAGAUUGUGCUUCUACCAACCCCUACAUCAGCAGGUUCCACAUUUAAAGAUGUUGCUUACUGAUUCAACAAAAAAGUUAUCAUUUACACGGUGCAUAAGAGAUGGAGAUUUGGUUAUCGUCUAUGAGAAGCAUGAUACAAUGAAGGCAAUUAGAGUAUGUGAGACUUCAGUGCUCCAGAACCGUUUUGGUGUAUUUAAACCUUCAGACUGGAUUGGAAAGCCUUUUGGGUCCAAAGUGUUUAGCAACAAGGGUGGAUUUGUCUAUUUGUUAGCUCCAACUCCUGAACUAUGGACUCUAGUUUUAAACCACCGGACUCAGAUCCUCUAUAUUGCUGAUAUUUCCUUUGUGAUUACAUACUUGGAGAUAGUUCCUGGUUGUUUGGUUCUUGAGUCUGGCACUGGCAGUGGAUCUUUAACGACCUCACUAGCAAGGGCUGUGGCUCCUACAGGACAUGUUUAUACAUUUGAUUUCCAUGAACAAAGGGCUGCCUUAGCAAGGUAAGAAAUGGGGUUCACCUGGUAUAGUGCCUCCCAAUUUAAUAAUUUGUGGUUUUAGUAUUUGUUAGUGGGAAUUGUUUGAUUGUUUAAUUGCAUUGAAUAUUUUUAAAGAAUUAAUGAAUAAACUAAAUUCUGUUACAAAUCUAGGAUCCAAAAUUAGUGAUAUCGGAUUUGUUAUCUAUAACGUGAAAAAGUGACCUCAUCUUCUCAUAGUAUAAAAGAAGUAUUUAAUAUAUUCAAUUAAUGUACUAGAAAAGCAUGUUUUUAAUAAGGAAACUGGACAAAGGCCAAACUAAAAGGAGGGAGAUAUUGCAUUUAUUUAGAUAGUUGCAGUAAGAUUAGACCUAGGCACUUUAAUUGAAGCUAAGCUUCAGACAUAAUCAAGUUUUUCUUCUUCUCUUUGUCCUUUUAUUUUUUUGGCUGGGGGGGUGGUUCUUGGGGCAAGAAGAUUCUACUACUAUUUAUACCAGGUUUUAUUAAUUGAUGAAGAUGUUGCAAGCUGCUUUUCUUUCCCCUCCCCCCUCCGCCGCAGCCCGCCACCCAACCCCCUACCCCCCCCCUCUCUUUCUUGUUUUUUAUUUGUAAGUAGGGAAGAUUUUGAGAGGACAGGAGUAAGCAGCUUAGUCACAGUUGGAGUUAGAGACAUUCAGGGUGAGGGAUUUCCAGAUGAAUAUACUGGGUUGGCUGAUUCUGUAUUUCUGGAUCUACCUCAACCAUGGCUGGUUAUUCCUUCAGCUGGGAAAAUGUUGAAACAAGAUGGAAUUUUGUGCUCUUUCUCACCAUGCAUUGAGCAAGUACAACACUCCCGUGAAACUCUUAGAUCAAAUUUUACAGACAUAAAGACAUUUGAGGUGCUUCUUCGGAUGUACGAAGUUUGUGAAAGGCAAAUGGAUUGUGGCCAGAGCGAUGAAGAUGUUUCUCUUGGAUCUCCUCCGUCCAAGAGAAGACAGUGCUCAAAUGAAAGAAGUAAAGUGCAGGAAAAUACCAGUUCUCCUGUAAUCAUGGCUAGGCCAUGUGGUGAAUCUAGAGGGCACACUGGCUAUUUGACAUUUGCAAGACUUAAAUGUCAAUGAUGAAUGAAUAAAUGCAGUCACUCAUCCAUCCACUUUUUAGGUUAGAAGAAUUCUGUGCUCGUAUCUGGUUUUGUCUGUGCCUUAUUGUGAAUUCUUUCCAAUCACCUUGAAACUUUAAAAGUUUUGAAGGAAAAUUUUGGCUGUGGUAUUUGUUUUAGAUUUUCUAUUUCCUCAUUUGAUGUUCAGAAGCAAUGCAUUAUGCAAUAAAAAUAAUAAUAUCUACUGG